CGAACGGGUGAGUAAUACAUCAGAACGUGUCCGCUCGUGGGGGACAACCAGCCGAAAGGUUGGCUAAUACCGCAUGAGUUCUACGGAAGAAAGAGGGGGACCCGCAAGGGCCUCUCGCGAGCGGAGCGGCCGAUGACUGAUUAGCCUGUUGGUGAGGUAACGGCUCACCAAAGCAACGAUCAGUAGCUGGUCUGAGAGGACGACCAGCCACACUGGGACUGAGACACGGCCCAGACUCCUACGGAAGGCAGCAG
rnacentral:rRNA from 1 species